GGCGCCGUUCUCAGACAUGACACGGAAGAAGGCCCCAGCGUCCGGGGUCCCAACAGGCUUACCCUGAAAACAGGCAACAGCUGAUUUAAGGAGCAGCAGAAGCCAGGCGCUCAAAGCAGACGGAGAUCACCUCAACCUUCAGCGAGGUGAUCGUGAUCAGAAUCAGAUUUAGAAUCAGAAUCGUAUUUCAUUGCCAAGUAUAUUUACACAUACAAGGAAUCUGUCUUGGUGUGUUGGUGAAAAACAACCAACAAGAGUUGGUGAGUUAAUGGGGCACUACUACCACCCGACAUCCCUGAUGCCCAGCCACCAGCAUUGGACUCAGUCGUCCCCAAAACCACCACCGUCCUCAUUCAUGGACGGCCUGCUCCGGACCUCCACCUCAGCGGCAAGGAAGUGUGGAUCAGGAACGCGAGGACUGCAAAGGAGAAAUCCUUCCUGCAUCUUAUUACAUCUCCACCUAUCCCAUUUUUCUAAACAAUGAGUAAAGUCUUUUAGCAGCUCUUUUAUAAAUCGCCUGGAGAUAUAAUGAUUGAUUGAUUGAUCAACAACAUGGUGCAGAAGUGAUUCAGGGUUUAAAGACGUCUACCUAGUCGACGUACCUCAUAGAGGAUGGUGCUGUUGCCGUGGAGCAGAGGGCCGUAGCAGAUGUAAGAAUGGCCGACGACCCAGCCGAGGUCUGACGCAGCCCACCACACCUGCAACAGGUUCAAAAGACACUCAUCGAAGGCAAACACAGUGCACUGAAAGUUGAGAAAACUCUAUCAACACUGUCUUUACAUUCAACUGAAGGCACUCUAAAUGUUAAUCCAGAAGCUUAUGUUGUAAAAAAGAAAAGAUGAAUGUGAAUAAAGAAAAGAAAAACA